UAUUUAUAAGCCUUCAUAUUUUUUCUUUUGAAGUCCCAAGCGAACGUUCGAUACAAAGUCCCUAUCAAAAUGAUCAAAGAAAGCACAAAGAGGGAAAAAACUGGCCUAGCUAGCAUUGUUUUUUCCCAUGUCCCAGCUCACACGUUGAAAACAUCAACCAAAAAAAAAAAAAAAGAUUGCAUGAUAGCAUCAGGUUUGGGACCACAGCACUGUCGCUUUAAGAUAAAAUAUUCUAUCUUCUACAUCAUAAUUAUCUCCUUAAGGUAGAAAUAUUAUCAUAUCUUCCAAUCUUAUUAUCUGAGAAAUUGCCUCAUUAAGUUGCCUGCCUCCCCUUGUGCCCACCUUGCACGCCAUUGUCCAUAUUUCAUCAGUGAUCCCAUAGAGCUUGGGGCUGCUCUGAUUGGCAAGAGGCAUAUGCCUUAUAACAGGUCUCUAUGGGGACUCAGAGUGGGCCGAAAUACGCCAGCAGAGCUCUGUUUCUGACAGCGGGAUGAUCAUCUUUAAUUUCAUGUGCCUUUGCUUCUGUAUAGACAACCUGCAAGUGAGCGACCUCCCUGCCUCUUCUCUCCUGCCUCCUGCCCUCACUCCAUCUCUCAUCUGUCCUUCACGUCUGGGAUGCCAGUCAGAAAAAAUUUGCUCUGCUGCAAACGAGGGUCACGUCACAGAGGGGGACGAAGUCCGAAGGUCUGACUGUCUGGGGAGGAAAUCUAAUAUUUGCCUGCAGCCUUUCAUGUCGGCGAUGGCCGAGCUGGCGGCUUUAGGUGAGAUCCGAGACAGUCUGGAGGAUGUGUGGAUCACAUUUCGAAAAAGUGCUGGUGUUGACAAGUCGCCACUUUGGUGAGUAGAAAGAGACGGCUGAAGAGGAUAACUGUCACCAUCCUUCACUCAGCCUUGAUCGGAAUGAGAAUAACGAUGAGAUUUCAUUGUGGUCCGACACUGGCAUCCUCUCGAAUGGAUCGGUGGAAAUGAGACUCAGAUGUUAAUUGAAUCUAUUGCUCAGUUAAAUGAUUUCACUACAGUGUUUUAAAUGGGUAGCCCCCAGCUUUGAUAAUGUUCUGCUCCACAGCGUGUUGGUAAAAGAGCGCUCAUUUAAAUCUAGAUUGAUUUGCAUAAUGAUAAUUUUGCAUUCUUGCAUAAUGAAACCUUUUUCCUUGAAUUACUCAACGCAACAUCUACAGCAUUAACUGAUCUGCUUUUAUCUAAAUUUC
ensembl:lncRNA